rnacentral:rRNA from 1 species
GACGAACGCUGGCGGCGUGCCUAACACAUGCAAGUCGAGCGGUAAGGCCCUUCGGGUACACGAGCGGCGAACGGGUGAGUAACACGUGGGUGACCUGCCUCUAGCUCUGGGAUAAGCCUGGGAAACUGGGUCUAAUACCGGAUAUGACUCCACGGCGCAUGUUGUGGGGUGGAAAGCCUUGUGUGGCUAGAGAUGGGCCUGCGGCCUAUCAGCUUGUU